CCCUUGGCGUCGCCCCGGCCCCGCCGCCCGCGCCGCCAUGUUCCGCGCCCGCCGCCUCCUGGCCCUGGCGCCGCUGCGGCCCCGCGCCCGCGCCUACGCCGAGCCCGCCGCCGCCGCCGGCCCCGCGCAGAUGGCCUUCACCUUCGCCUCGCCCACGCAGGUGUUUUACAACGGAGCCAACGUGAAGCAGGUAGAUGUGCCCACGCUGACUGGCUCCUUCGGUAUCCUGGCCUCUCACGUCCCCACCCUGCAGGUCCUCAAACCUGGAGUCGUGACAGUCUAUGCUGAGGAUGGCACGGCCACCAAAUACUUUGUGAGCAGUGGCUCUGUCACAGUCCACGCAGACUCUACCGUGCAGGUGCUGGCAGAGGAGGCGGUGACGAUGGACAUGCUGGAUCUGGCUACUGCAAAAUCAAACCUGGAGAAAGCUGUUUCAGAGAUGGCUGCAGCAUCUGAUGAAGCAGCUAAAGCAGAAGCGCAGAUUAAAGUAGAAGCUAAUGAAGCUCUCGUAAAAGCCCUGGAGUAAUUAGGCUAAGACUGUGCCUCAUCGCUUUUUUUUCCCACGUGCUGGCAGCUGGGAGGUUUGCGGCAGUCAGCGUGUGCUGUGCCUGACAGGAAUCCCACUGUCAAUGUAAAGAAACCCCAGACUGUCCUACUUGUCCUGGCUUCCCCCGUUUGUACAGAUGGUGCGGGACAAAUGGAGGCGGAGAAAAUGCUCUGAUCAAUUAAAAGGAAAUUCAAUCCUG